UACGAAGGGGGCUAGCGUUGCUCGGAAUCACUGGGAGUAAAGGGUGCGUAGGCGGGUCUUUAAGUCAGGGGUGAAAUCCUGGAGCUCAACUCCAGAACUGCCUUUGAUACUGAGGAUCUUGAGUUCGGGAGAGGUGAGUGGAACUGCGAGUGUAGAGGUGAAAUUCGUAGAUAUUCGCAAGAACACCAGUGGCGAAGGCGGCUCACUGGCCCGAUACUGACGCUGAGGCACGAAGGCGUGGGGAGCAAACAGG
rnacentral:rRNA from 1 species